AGAGUUUGAUCUUGGCUCAGGAUGAACGCUGGCGGCGUGCCUAAUACAUGCAAGUAGAACGCUGAAGAGAGGAGCUUGCUCUUCUUGGAUGAGUUGCGAACGGGUGAGUAACGCGUAGGUAACCUGCCUUGUAGCGGGGGAUAACUAUUGGAAACGAUAGCUAAUACCGCAUAACAAUGGAUGACUCAUGUCAUUUAUUUGAAAGGGGCAAUUGCUCCACUACAAGAUGGACCUGCGUUGUAUUAGCUAGUAGGUGAGGUAACGGCUCACCUAGGCGACGAUACAUAGCCGACCUGAGAGGGUGAUCGGCCACACUGGGACUGAGACACGGCCCAGACUCCUACGGGAGGCAGCAGUAGGGAAUCUUCGGCAAUGGGGGCAACCCUGACCGAGCAACGCCGCGUGAGUGAAGAAGGUUUUCGGAUCGUAAAGCUCUGUUGUAAGUCAAGAACGAGUGUGAGAGUGGAAAGUUCACACUGUGACGGUAGCUUACCAGAAAGGGACGGCUAACUACGUGCCAGCAGCCGCGGUAAUACGUAGGUCCCGAGCGUUGUCCGGAUUUAUUGGGCGUAAAGCGAGCGCAGGCGGUUUGAUAAGUCUGAAGUUAAAGGCUGUGGCUCAACCAUAGUUCGCUUUGGAAACUGUCAAACUUGAGUGCAGAAGGGGAGAGUGGAAUUCCAUGUGUAGCGGUGAAAUGCGUAGAUAUAUGGAGGAACACCAGUGGCGAAGGCGGCUCUCUGGUCUGUAACUGACGCUGAGGCUCGAAAGCAUGGGUAGCGAACAGGAUUAGAUACCCUGGUAGUCCACGCCGUAAACGAUGAAUGCUAGGUGU
rnacentral:rRNA from 1 species